rnacentral:rRNA from 1 species
GCGGAGGAAAAGAAACCAACCGGGAUUGCCUUAGUAACGGCGAGUGAAGCGGCAAAAGCUCAAAUUUGAAAUCUGGCGUCUUCGACGUCCGAGUUGUAAUUUGAAGAAGGCAACUUUGUAGCUGGUCCUUGUCUAUGUUCCUUGGAACAGGACGUCAUAGAGGGUGAGAAUCCCGUGUGGCGAGGAUCCCAGUUAUUUGUAAAGUGCUUUCGACGAGUCGAGUUGUUUGGGAAUGCAGCUCUAAGUGGGUGGUAAAUUCCAUCUAAAGCUAAAUAUUGGCGAGAGACCGAUAGCGAACAAGUACAGUGAUGGAAAGAUGAAAAGAACUUUGAAAAGAGAGUGAAAAAGUACGUGAAAUUGUUGAAAGGGAAGGGCAUUUGAUCAGACAUGGCGUUUGCUUCGGCUUUCGCUGGGCCAGCAUCAGUUUUAGCGGUUGGAUAAAUCCUCGGGAAUGUGGCUCUGCUUCGGUAGAGUGUUAUAGCCCGUGGGAAUACAGCCAGCUGGGACUGAGGAUUGCGACUUUUGUCAAGGAUGCUGGCGUAAUGGUUAAAUGCCGC